NNGACGCAGCCAGGUGCGAUAAGUAGUGUGAAUUGCAGAAUUCAGUGAAUCAUCGAAUCUUUGAACGCAAAUGGCGCUCUUGGGUUUUCGCAGGAGCAUGUCUGUCUGAGUGUCG
rnacentral:rRNA from 1 species